UCGCUACUACCGAUUGAAUGUUUUAGUGAGCCGUAGGGAUCGGGACGCUUGGACGGCUUGCCGUCUCUUGACUACUGAAAACUACUGCAAACUUGAUCAUUUAGAGGAAGUAA
rnacentral:rRNA from 1 species